rnacentral:rRNA from 1 species
UACGUAGGGUGCGAGCGUUAAUCGGAAUUACUGGGCGUAAAGGGUGCGCAGGCGGCGUCGCAAGUCAGGCGUGAAAUCCCCGGGCUUAACCUGGGAACUGCACUUGAAACUACGAUGCUGGAGUAUGGCAGAGGGAGGUGGAAUUCCACGUGUAGCGGUGAAAUGCGUAGAUAUUAGGAGGAAUACCAGUUGCGAAGGCGGCUCUCUGGACUGUAACUGACACUGAGGCACGAAAGCGUGGGGAGCAAACAGG